GGGAAGAUGCAACAAAGGGGGGGGGACGUAUGGGGAAGGGAAGGGAUCUCAGGGAAUUUUCCCGACUGGAAACAAACAAACCCUAAAAUGGUUAAAGAAAACAUUUCCCUCUUUAUAUUACUUGGCUUGCACAAGCAUGUUCAUAACUGACACAAUAGCAUGAAGGGGACAUUGUUGCUCUAGCAAUGACAGAUCUGAGUGAUGAGCCUAACCAAAGUAUACAUGGCAUGAAAGAAGUUGCAUCCUUCAUUACACAUUUUAUUUUCAUUCUGCAGAGUCUGAUCCUGAUGAUUUUUCUCUUUCCAUAAAAUGUAGAGGCUUAUUUAGCUGAUCGCAACUGGUAUGAGGUCAAGGGAUCUUAGGGGGCUGAUUAGCAUGGGGAAUCUACCUUUGUUUUAACCAGAAUAACUCUAGUAAUUAAACAACUGUCCUGGUGACAGUGUAUAGCUUCCUCACUGUGUUCUUUCAGGCAGUUCCUUUUUUCGUUGUUGUCCAUCUUAGCUUUAGAGUGACAGCCUUGCCUGAGAUGUAAAUUAGAUGCAAAGGAAGCACAGAAUAAUUUCUAAAUCCCUGACUGGCAAGAAGAGCGAGGAUGCAAUGGGUAAGAAGUUUUGAGGGCCAUGACAUUGAGAAUCUUCAGGGGCCUCUGUCAGUUCUUUGCAGUGUUAGCUCAUAAGACUGCAGAUCUGGCCAUUUUAGACUUUAGUCUGGAGUCUGGUCCAAAUGGUAUAGAAUAAGACCAAUAGACAGAAAUGUCUCUGCUUGAUGCAUGGGGAAACUAAGUAAUGUAAUCUCUGAUUUUAUUCUACUCUAUCUAGGCCCUUAUAUGGCAUCCAUCAUUGUCUUGUCUGAAAACGUAAAGAGAACAUGAGCGAUUUUCACAGAUCAUCGGUGAACAAAAGUGACUCUUGAGAACCUCUGUACUGCUACAAACACAUAGUGUAGUUAGAGCUAGUCUGCAUGAUGCUGGAAGCACACAAAUAUCUGGCCCUCUUAGUAGCAGAUAUACGGCAAUGUAAGCGCUGAGGGUGCAAUCACUAGCUUCCUCUAUCCACUUGUUGCCAUAAAUGAAUAUGUUUUUAACAGCGUCUCACUGUGGCAAGGCCAGAAUCCAAGAGAGAUAGGAACAGGGGAUGGUAGGUUGGUUUCCCUCUCAUCUAUAAGAGGUUUUUUCGUUAUUGUUGGGUCUAAGAGACCUUGGACCUUGCAUGAUUUUUUUUUCCAGACAGGUGGAAAGUGUUGUGUCAAGGUGUGUGUGUGUGGGGGCGGGGGGACUGCAAAAUUCAAGUCAAAACAAGUUGACUUCUCACAACGUUUUCAAAAAUAUGAUUUAUUUUCCCCCACCCCCCUUCCUUCUCAUAACCUCCAUUGGUUUUAACAGCAGUGGAAUUGUUUUCGACACUUCUAUUACUGACCUUGCAGAUGUCCCAAGGCAAUCUGUGCUUAAAGUGUUAAUGCUCCCCCUACACACAGACCCAUAGUCAAUCCAAACCCUUCAGGAUGUCCUUCUCUUGAUAAUGCCCGCAUAAAUAUGAUGGUUUGAGGCAGAAGAAAAAUUGCAGGAUACCAGCUAGAGCAUCUAAAUGCUGCCUCAUCAUACAAAGGCACUUUAUAUUGUUCUCAUACAUCCUGGCAGCCAUUUUACAAAUGCCAAAGGGCACUUAGUGCUGGAUACAGAGACAGGAAGGAGAGAUAAGAAAGAAGUGCCUAUUAUUUCUUACCAAAAUGAAUCUGCAUCUCUAAUGGGAUACAAUGCCAGGCUUAUUACAACUAACCAGUCAGUCAGUGCUGAAGGAGAAAAGGCUGUAUGUGGGAUGGCAAGGGGAUACAAAGACUGGGAGAGAUUAAAGAAUGAGGACUCAGAUUCACAGAGUGUUCUGGUCACAUUUUCUUUGGAAAUACUUCAUUUCAGCACCACAUCGGAGAAGAUCACCUGAAACUUUAUUGAUCAACACAGCGGGAAGAGACUACUUCAUUGUACAAAGAAGUUUCCAUAGAUGACAGUCAUCAGCUAGUCCUUUCAGAUUUCAAUUCAAUAAGAUAUAAUGGCCAUGUAUGUUUUAUUGUGCAUAUUUUGGGCUGAACUAAUCCUUGCUGAAACUCCACUAGGUCAAUGGAGUUACACCCAGGAUUGAGUUAGCUGAUUUUGCUUCAGUGCGGCAAAACACUGUACCUGCUUCAUUAUCUAAAACGAAUUAGCUAGGGCUACCUGCCUCCUGGUGCAGUAAUGUGUAAAAUAAUGCAGCUCGUCUGCUUGCCCUAGAGCCAUAUCCUGGAUUUUGGACAACAUUAAAUUGCAGCAAUAAUUCUUGUACUGGAAUGCAACAACAAUGCAAUAAAGUUGGCAUUUUAAAAAGCAUUUAAAGCUCACCAUUUAGUGACACCCCCAAUCCCGACAGGCAACAGGUGUCCUCUAUGUAUUACUGACAACAUUUCUCUCAAGCUCAUCCCAUCUUUAGAUGGGUGUUUCUGGGUUUCCAGUUGUCCCAGACCCUACUGAUAUUUUCUCCUGAUCCAACCAAAGAAGCAAAGCAGCCAACAGACACAGCUCUGGACAUUCAGGAGCUAAAACUUUGAGGUCAAAGACAUUUAUUCCACCCCAUCAGGUCUCCAGAAGCAAUGCGGGAACGUCUCCUCCCACUAACAGAGCUCACAUCCAUAUUGCAUGAUUGGCCCAAAUCUGAAGAGCGGACGCACCUGUGGAUUCAAAUCACACAGUUAGAUGCAGAGACUGAGGGCCAAAUCCAACUUCUAUUGAUGUCAACAGAAAAACUUCCGUUGAUUUUAAAUGGAUCAGUAAUGAGCUGGUGUAUGCUCUUAGGAAUCAUCUUGUUCAGGCCAUUGACUGUGAAAAAUAGAAUCCAGCUGAAUGGCAAAUUUGGAAGGAACGGUGAGGAACCAAGCCAGAUGUCUAUAAAGCAUGGCACCUAUCAAAACCAACAUUGAAAGCUGAAAAUUGAAGUGACUGUGUCAUGAGCCGUUUUGAUGAGAGCAGAGAGAAAUGGAUAGGAUGGAAAAUAUUUAAAGAAACUGUGUGCUAACUUUGUCUUAUUGUUUAAAGAGCUUUUCCACACACAGAGUGGAGACCUUUUAUUCUAAAAUCCUUUUAAGAAACUGAAUUGAUUAACUUGUAACUGACAUAUCACACUAGCCAGUUCUUGACUUGGGAGAGGGCUUUGGGAUUAUAGCACAGGACUGGGUCCUAUUCCUGGUUGUGCCACAGACUUAUGUCACUUUGGGCAAGAUGCUUGAGGCCAGAUUAACAAAGCUAUUUAGGCACUUAAAAAUUCCGAUAGUAGCAUAUAGGCAGGUAAGGUGCUAAACUUCUAUUGACUUUCAAUCUGCAUCUUUAGAUGCCUAGUACUUUUGUAAACGUGGCCCUUAACCUUUCUGCAUCCCAGUUUCCCCAUUUGUUAAAUGGGGAUAAUAUUUUACUUCAGCGGAGUGAUGUGAGGGUUAAUGCAUCAUUGAUGAAGUGGUGGAUACUACAGAGAUGGGUACUGUAAAAAUGCAAUAAAUGGAUGAGCUUAUGUAGGUAUCAAAUUUGAUGCAAAACAGACUAUCAUAUUAUGAGGUGGACAUUAGUGACAAUGUUGAAAUACCCAUUCUAAUCUCAGAGUUUAAGGCCAGAAGAGAUCAUUAGAUCAUCUACUCUGAACUUGUGUAUAUCAAAUGCCAUUACAUUUCACCAAUAUACCCCUAUGGUAAGCCCACAGAGGAGCAUCUCUCAUGAUUAAAAGUGCUGGAAAUAAUAAUAAACCCUGUGCUUUGUGUUUGACAGAAUACCUGUGCCUACACCCUAUUGUUAUCUUUGUAUGAAGUAUGACUUGUGAGGUCUCAUUUGAAAACUCAAUUUACUGGUCAUUAUUGUCCUGGUAAAAUGUGCAACAACCUUGUAUGUGAA